CCUACGGGCGGCUGCAGUGGGGAAUUUUGGACAAUGGGGGCAACCCUGAUCCAGCCAUGCCGCGUGCGGGAAGAAGGCCUUCGGGUUGUAAACCGCUUUUAGCCGGGAAGAAAAGGCGAGGGAUAACACCCUUCGUUCUUGACGGUACCGGCGGAAUAAGCACCGGCUAACUACGUGCCAGCAGCCGCGGUAAUCCGUAGGGUGAGAGCGUUAAGCGGAAUGACUGGACGUAAAGCGUGCGCAGGGGGGUGCAAGCCCCGGGCUCAACCUGGGAAUUGCAUUGGAUACUGGCGGGCUUGAGUGUGGCAGAGGGGGGUGGAAUUCCGCGUGUAGCAGUGAAAUGCGUAGAGAUGCGGAGGAACACCGAUGGCGAAGGCAGCCCCCUGGGCUGACACUGACGCUCAGGCACGAAAGCGUGGGGAGCAAACAGGAUUAGAUACCCCAGUAGUC
rnacentral:rRNA from 1 species